GAUGAACGCUGGCGGCGUGCCUAAUACAUGCGAGUCGAGCGAACAGACGAGGAGCUUGCUCCUCUGACGUUAGCGGCGGACGGGUGAGUAACACGUGGAUAACCUACCUAUAAGACUGGGAUAACUUCGGGAAACCGGAGCUAAUACCGGAUAAUAUAUUGAACCGCAUGGUUCAAUAGUGAAAGACGGUUUUGCUGUCACUUAUAGAUGGAUCCGCGCCGCAUUAGCUAGUUGGUAAGGUAACGGCUUACCAAGGCGUCGAUGCGUAGCCGACCUGAGAGGGUGAUCGGCCACACUGGAACUGAGACACGGUCCAGACUCCUACGGGAGGCAGCAGUAGGGAAUCUUCCGCAAUGGGCGAAAGCCUGACGGAGCAACGCCGCGUGAGUGAUGAAGGUCUUCGGAUCGUAAAACUCUGUUAUUAGGGAAGAACAAAUGUGUAAGUAACUAUGCACGUCUUGACGGUACCUAAUCAGAAAGCCACGGCUAACUACGUG
rnacentral:rRNA from 1 species